GACAGAGGGGGCAAGCGUUGCUCGGAAUUACUGGGUUUAAAGGGUGCGUAGGUGGGUAUGUAAGUCAGUGGUGAAAUCCCCGAGCUUAACUUGGGAACUGCCGUUGAUACUAUAUAUCUUGAAUAUCGCGUAGGUAAGCGGAAUAUGUCAUGUAGCGGUGAAAUGCUUAGAUAUGACAUAGAACACCAAUUGCGAAGGCAGCUUACUUCACGAUUAUUGACACUGAGGCACGAAAGCGUGGGGAGCAAACAGG
rnacentral:rRNA from 1 species